rnacentral:lncRNA from 1 species
UGAUGGGGUAUAUAAAACAUAUUUUUGCCGUUUAUUGUACAUAACAAUUUUUAAAUCUAAACAAAUAGUUGUUUUAGUUAAAUAGAAUGAAAUUCAUGAUUUAUUCCUUUGGUUUUGGGUAGAACUGUUUUUCAUCCCUCUCAUUAAGUCCAUCAGGUUCAAGAGUACGUAGCUGAUGCAUCCAGAACCUUUCUCUCUGUUUUCUCCUUUCGGAGUCCCAAUUUUGAUUUACCUCAAUUAUUUGAAAGGUGAUAUUAUCAAAAGUAUGUCCUGUUCUUAAGAGGUGUCUCGUAAUUGGACAGUUUCUUCCUUUUGUAUAGAACGACCGGUGAUUGUUAAGUCUGAUGUUGAAUGUAGUUUCUGUUUCACCAACAUACUGCAGCUUGCAAGUUCCACAAGUAAGAAUAUAAAUACUAUUUUCCGUUUUGCAAUUAGAUGUAACAUAGAUGUUGUAUCGCUGCUUUGUUACUGUGCUGCUGAAAGAGUGGUCAGUGUUGGCGGCUUUACAGCACUUACAAUUGCUUCUACCGCAUUGUUUGUAACACCCAAAUUUAGAAGUUUCUUGUUUCUUUACUUUUGAUGUCACAAGUAUGUCUUUGAGAUUUUUGGGUCUGCGAUAGGCAAUAACAGGAGGUGAUGGAAAAAUUUCUUUUAAGGAAGAGUCAUUUUCGAUAAGACGCCAGUGCUUUCGGAUAGUAGAUGAAAUAUUUGUCAAAUCGGGAUGGAAGGUUACAACAAACGGAAUUCUAUCUGCACGGGUCGUCUUAUCUUUGUAUUCCAUGAGGCUAGCUCGAUCUUUUUCUUGGGCUUUAUCAAAAGCGUCUGUGAUGUUUUUGGUUUUAUAUCCUCUUGAUUUCAGCUGUGUUUUUAGUUGUCCCAAACGAUAGUUAAGUUUGGAUUCCGAGGAGCAAAUUCGCUUUAGUCUGAUGGCUUGACUGUAAGGUAUACUCCUGGAGCAGUGUUUCGGGUGACAACUUUUUGGAGAAAGGAACUGGUGUUUAUCAGUUUUCUUUGUGUGGAGAUCAGUUGUCAUGACCCCGUUUUUUACAAAUGUGGUGGGUGUCGAGAAAAGCAAUUUUUCUCGCUUGAAAAUUCAGAUGUAAAUUUAAUUGAGUGAUGGAACUGAUUACAAUGAUCUAGGAAAUCUUGCAAAUGUUCUGCAGUAUCGUUCCAUUUCAUGUCAAUAUCAUCAAUAAAACGGAGCCAUGACAAGGGUUUGUAUGGCACACUCAAAAGGAUGCGUU